rnacentral:rRNA from 1 species
AUUGAGCGCUGGCGGCAGGCCUAACACAUGCAAGUCGAGCGGGGUUUUCGGACCUAGCGGCGGACGGGUGAGUAAUGCGUAGGAAGCUACCCGAUAGAGGGGGAUACCAGUUGGAAACGACUGUUAAUACCGCAUAAUGUCUACGGACCAAAGUGUGGGACCUUCGGGCCACAUGCUAUCGGAUGCGCCUACGUGGGAUUAGCUAGUUGGUGGGGUAAUGGCUCAUCAAGGCGACGAUCCCUAGCUGGUUUGAGAGGAUGAGCAGCCACUGUGGAACUGAGACACGGGCCAGACUGCGACGGGAGGCAGCAGUGGGGAAUAUUGGAAGAUGGGCGCAAGCCUGAUCCAGCCAUGCCGCGUGUGUGAAGAAGGCCUUCGGGUUGUAAAGCACUUUCAGUAGGGAGGAAGGGUGUUGUGUUAAUAGCACAGCAUUUUGACGUUACCUACAGAAGAAGCACCGGCUAACUCUGUGCCAGCCGCCGCCGUAACAC